rnacentral:rRNA from 1 species
ACAGAAGUCACGGCUAACUACGUGCCAGCAGCCGCGGUAAUACGUAGGUGGCAAGCGUUAUCCGGAUUUAUUGGGGCGUAAAGAGAGUGCAGGCGGUUUUCUAAGUCUGAUGUGAAAGCCUUCGGCUUAACCGGAGAAGUGCAUCGGAAACUGGAUAACUUGAGUGCAGAAGAGGGUAGUGGAACUCCAUGUGUAGCGGUGGAAUGCGUAGAUAUAUGGAAGAACACCAGUGGCGAAGGCGGCUACCUGGUCUGCAACUGACGCUGACGACUCGAAAGCAUGGGUAGCGAACAGGAUUAGACUACCCUGGUAG